GGCUGCAGUCCAGCAUGUCGGGCCAGGGGAAGCCGAAAGCAGACAUCACUGGUGCACAGCUCUCCUUUACCUCCUCGCAGAAGGCCCAAACCUUAAUGUCCAUGCUUGCAGCUGAAGGCUGGAGAUGGCCACUCAGUGCUGCCAACCUGGUUGGGAUUCUGCCGCAUCCCUGCAGUGCCCAGAUACCGAAAGAGAGCAUAAGAAAGGUGCAAAAUGUAGGCAGGCCAAUUUCAGCCUGAGGAGGUGUGAGAAACAACUACUUGUUUUAAGAAAAUACACUGUGCAUACAACAAGCCAUUGAUUUCUACUUGGUCAAAAGGGCUGAAAGAGAGGACUUCCUCUGAACAUUUAGCCAGCGACUCAGGUAGGAAAGUCAAUGCUGCAAAUUACCUCUAAGGUGCAUGGUUUUGUUUUGUUUUUGUUUGUGAAAUAACUUUUCUGUUUGAGUGCUUCUUCCUUGGACUAAAGUAUCACCAUCUCAAGUAGGAGAACCUCCAGAAUUAUCAGAUAACUAUUUGGAAGCUUGGUAAGAAAAAUGUUUUCAUUCCAGCAUGGACUUCUUCUGAAGCAAAAAAAUAGUUGUGGAAAAGCUGGACUUCUCCAACACUUAAACUCCUGAACAUGUCAGUGAUGGUUUGUGCUGAAGUGAUUACUGAAACAUACUCAAAGCAUGUUAUCAAAAUGUUUUGACUAAAAAAAAAAAAAUAAUAAUCUACAGCCAGUUCUGAUAAAAGGCUAUUUCAAGGCAGGACUUCACAGAGACACAAACCUUAGACUUCAGAAAACGAGGAAAAAUUUAAUAUUCUCAUUUUUCCCUAAUAAAGACUUUUAAAGAAAUUUAUCAUUGCUACCUAUCAGCAUGUUAAUCUAGUCAACAAGGCAGGAAGAGGGCUAUCUGUAGAAGGAAUUCCACUUCAACUAUUUCUCUGGAUUUGCCAGUUCCUUCUCAAUAUUAUGUUUUUGCAGGCAGCUCUGCCUGCUUCUGCUCUCCUUCAGCAUUCACAACUCCAGUAACCUCUCUGCUGUAACUUGGUCUCAGUGUCUGAAGCCUGCAGGUACAGUAGUGUUCAGUUUGUUGUCAUCUUCAUGCUCUCUUCAGCAACCCAAAUACCAGUCAUCCCAAGUGACUUUAUACACUGCUAGGCAAGUUUCUUAUGCAAGACUGUGCCACAUUCCCAUGACAAAUCACUGUAGAAGCAUGUUUUUUUGUUUUUUCUCCUUUUUGUGUCUAACAUUUUCCUUCUACCAUUCUGUUGAUGCAAGGAAGAACUCAUUUGUAGUUUAGCAUGGUGUUUCUUACAAGUUGUUUAAAGAACAGAACUUAAAAAGCAGAUUUGUAGUUUUUAGUCCUAUCCCCUGUGAGUCAAAACCUGCUGAUUGUAUGGCCACAUGCAGGAAAAAAUCAUUGUGUCUUCUUAGACAGGCAUUAGUAGUAUCAUGUGGUGUGAAGUAAUACAGAGAUUUGAUGUCUUAAAGAGUGUAAGACAGUAAGUAGGUGUUCAUAUAUUAGGAUACAAAAGAUCUUUCUUUCUUUCUUUCUUUCUUUCUUUCUUUCUUUCUUUCUUUCUUUCUUUCUUUCUUUCUUCUUUCUUUCUUUCUUUCUUUCUUUCUUUCUUUCUUUCUUUCUUUCUUUCUUUCUUUCUUUCUUUCUUUCUUUUAUUUUUGUAAGUAAAGUAUUUAAGUAUAUUUAAGUGCUUCCAAGACAUCACCCAGGUCACUAUUACCUCAUACAUGAUGCACAUUUUCUGGCCUGUAUCAUUUGGUUUUCGUGGUGUAAGAAAGCCAGCUAAUGCUAGAUGAAUGCUGUAUGUUCACACAGACUGUACCUCCAGGUCUUGUAGCUUUGUGCCUGCUUUCUUGUCUAUCAUUUAUCACCAUUAGUGUGUGUCUGCUAACAAGGAAUAUUCAGCUGAAUCACAGGAGGGGCUGCCUAAAGUUUUGCCACCAGAUUCAUGAGGAGGAAAAGGAUGGAACAGAGGUGAAUAAUCUUAAGGAGUGAGGAAUAAACAGAGACUUUUGAUUGUAAUUCCUGGCUGUCAUCAUCCUAAUUAGCAAUGGGUCUACUUCUUGUCUCAGUUCAGAGACUGUGAAUAGUGCUGCUUUGUGUCUGUCACGGUGAUUAAUGUAUUUCUUGGUAAUAACCUGGUAGAGUGUACAAAGCUGUAUAGUAAAUCUAUAGAGUGAACUGCCCUAGAACAAUUCAGUAUCACUUAACCCAAUUACAUGAAUGGUAGUGUCUUCUGUUUGGAUCGCUGAAAAGUCAGAUUGAUGACAUAUCAGGGGUGUCUGCUGAACCAGAAUAUUCAAGGGACUAGAUAGAAACAAUAGCCCUGAUAAUAAUAGCUAACAAUAGCCCUGAUAAUGAAUAUCCAUUAAUUUUUUUAACAGUUGUUUUGUUUUUUUCUCUGCUCAUUUUGAAUUGCUCCUCAUGGAAGCCAGCUUUUGCUACACAGUCCCCAGGGCAGCAGGAAUGGAGGUACAAUGGAAUUGCAGCUAAGUGAAGAAUAUUCUUCUUACAGUCUCUCUGAUGCUUUCCUGGAACUGAUAAGAGAAAUGGUGUAUAUCCCACAGAAUGCAAGAUGUGCUUGUGCUCAUGUUACAUGCACAAUGGUUAUGGAGGGCAGCUCUUAAAGCCACUCAGUAAACUAAUAUUAAUUUUAGUUGGCUUUUGACCAGCCCUUAACUGAAGCCUUUGCCUUUGAGGAAUGCGGUAGCUACAUUUUAAUUUCACUUUUAAAUAAUUCCAAAACUCCCAGCAUUCAUUUCUUAUAUUACAGCAUCCUUUCUCAGAAGUAAUUUCUCAUGGAGAAAUAACCUGGAAGGUGACUGGAGUUACAGAAGCAGAUGAAAGAGGGCAUUAUCCACUGUCUUUCUUCCUAAGAAAGUAUUUCUUCAGUUAACCGAGUCUUGAGGAAUCGUUCAACUCUGAAUUACAGUAUUUGUGGAACAGAGCAAUCUUAAUUUAUGUGACAGGUUGUGCAAAGAUAGUAGGCAAUAUCUUUUUUUUUUUUUUUUUUUUACUUACUCAUUAAAUAGCUGGAUGUUGAGUUAAAUAAAUAAUCAAAGAGUAUUACAAGGUCAAAUAGCUAAUUCUCUCUCAGAUAAUACAAGGUACUUGGCACUAAUGAGCUGCACCUCACCAGACUUUUAUGGGAUAAGCUUCAUUUUGUGAAAUUUAUUGCUCUGAAAUGUCUGGCAAGUGAUGCUGAAUAUUAGUUGCAGUUAGAAGAAUUGAAGAAUGAUCACUGAGAAGGGAUGGCCAACAAAUUCUUCUCUUUUGAGGUGGCCUGUAAGUUACAGAAAUGUAGGGUUCUAAUGGGACUUUCACACCCAGACACUGACUGUAAUUCCAAGCCUUAUUAAUGAAAGUCAGCAUUUGCAGAGAAGCAUGGUUAGAGCUAUGGAACUCACAGUGUAUCUAUAUCCUCCAUUUCCAGAAACCAGGAAAAUCGGGUACUGUAGAUCACACAAUCUAUCCAUAGGGAAGUCAAACACAGACUUUGAUUGAGCAGAGUCACCAUGGAGUAACUAUUGCAUUAUACUGUUUCUCAUUGCGUUUAAGGAAUGCAUGUGUGUUAUACUUUUGCUGAAUAAUUUUGCUGGGGUAAUUACUGAAUUUUCUCUGCUUUUGGUGUUGGACCUGCUGGAGGCUGGAGAUGAUGGUGCUGGUGGAACAGCACAUUUGGGGAGCAGAGUUAAGCUUGUUGUGACUCUUUUCCUAUGAACCAUAGGCAUGUGAAGGGCUGAGGUAUGGGAUGGCUGUGAGUUGUGGAGGCCAUGGGCCUGGGAUUUUCUGUGUGUGGCAAGGGGACAUAUGAAGCUAUCUUCCAGAGGAGUUGCUGCAGGACCUCAUCCUGGCUCUCAUCCACCCAUGCCUCCACAGAGGUUGUGCCUGAGAAGACCCACAAGGCUAUGUCUCCAUGUAGCAACAAGAAGUGCACUGCUCUGAGGACCAGCCCUCUGGAUGGAGACUGUCUCUGCUACAACAGGCUAAACCUCUGCCCACAGCCAUGUGCUGUCUUCACCUGAUGCCAUCUGUGGUUGUAGGGCACUGAGCUGCCCCUCUUCCCUCUGUGGGAUGCUAGCAGAUAGCCUGAGAUCCGCCAGGGCCAUCUGUGUGGACGUCCUGUGAUCCUGAUUUAGGAUGUUCCCGCUGUCCAAGGCUCGACCCCUCUCCUUCUCCACAGCACUCAGGAAUGCCUCACAAGAGGCAAGUUUAUUUACUCAGUCCUGCUAUGCUCCAUCAAACAGACCUCAUCAGGAGAAGGUGGAGGGCCCCAGUCAUCAGCCUGGAAGGAAAUCCUGACUGCAGUAGCAAUGCUAUGCAGGGAAGUGCAAACCUGCCAAGCUUUACUUACCUUAGCCCAAUGUGUGGUGAGGCAUGCUGAUAGAUGAGUGGUACCAACAUGUUUUGGAGACUGGCCAGGGGAAACUCAUCACCUGGCAGGAGCAGGACAUGCAUGCCCCUGCCACCAUGUGGUUCAUGGGCCCCAAGCCCCUUGGAGUGACAUGAGACUGGGAGCAAAGAAAGUGUGCAGAGCAGCCAUGGGUGAAGUACAUGCAGCUGGAGACAUCUCUCAGGGGAAGAGGAACAGGGGAGAGCUGUGAGUGAUGAUUAACUGUAGCCAUUAAACUCAGAAAACAGUGACAUAACUUUGAGAGCGUGAGUGUACCAUCUGAACUAUCCUAGAAGAAUGUCAAGUGCCGUGAAAAUAACACCAUAUGUUCAGAGAGCCUGAUCUGGAGGUUUCCAAACCGCAGAGCUGGAUUUUGCUGGGAUACUUUGCAGAUGCAGCUCAUAGGGUGCCAGACCCUGAGUCUGUCCUUUGCAUCCCUUCUUGGGGCAGUCAUGCCAAAGCCUCUCUGGAACCACGUGGACUGGCAGACAGGUGGAUACCAUCAUGGAGCUAUGUGUUUUCUGCAGAAGCCCACACAGCUUGUGAAUCAGUAGCCAUACUGUUGUGCUACUGUGCCACCACGCAUCUGGAUGGGAUCCCAUGACUUCCCCCAGCAGAACCUGGAUUCAGGUUCUGGAGGAGCUGAGCCAGCAGGCUGACACUGCCCACUGGAUUGCAAACCAAAAAAACACCCCAAUACCCCUUUAAAAGUCGUAUUUCAGGCCCCCAUAAAGAAGCCUAUAAGGAAGUCUGAAUUAAAAGGAUUGUUUUGUUUGGAGAUUUCCCGACAGGACUGAGGCUGUAUAUGCAAGACAGACUCAAAACUUUGGCAGUUCUGUUACAAUCAACUCAAAGUUUGAUAUUUUUGAUCAAGUAGUGCUGGGGAGUAGAUGUGUAGAUUUGGGUGCCACAGCUGCACACCCAGUUGUGUGGUGCUGCCACUUGGAAGUGGGGGAGCAGAGGGAAAAGCAUGCCUGCUGCCACUGUGAAAAUUAAUAUUUCUGCAAUUCACCUGCAAGAAACAUACCUUGUCAAGUGCUGCAUUUGAGAAGUAAGUAUUUCUCCCUUUGAGGCUUUGAAAGAAAGGACUUCAUUGAAAGGAAAGAAAAGAAAUCCUGGUGAUUCAGCUGAGCAGAGUGCAAUGUACUCAGAGAAAAUAAGAAAGGAAUGAAAGUGUUAGCAGAGUCUUGGUUAUGGCAGUAGAGGGGUAUUAGCCAAGUCAAAAUGGAUUGUCAGACUAGGCUCUUGUUUGUGUAACCUCCCACAUUCCUUGCACCGAGUCAACAUCUAGCCACCUGGGACAGGAGAAGGGAAUAACUUUUUUGUUUAGAAAAAAUAAAAUCAUGUAAAAAUCAUUUAAAUUUAUGUUUCUCUUUUAACAGAAGAAGUGUUUAAAAGGAAAACAUACCUUUUGGAGUGAAGCAUUUGUUUUUGUUCUUUAUAAGUACUUGUUUGAGUUCAUGUUUGUUAAAUGGCUUGUAGUUAUUCAAUCAUGGAGAUUUCCUUUGCUAACAUAAAAAUAGGUGUGAUUGAAAAAUUCAUAGCAGGAAAACAAAACUGCCUUUCACCCACUUGGACUCGCUUGACUUGAUGAGAUAUUUGUAAACCUUUAUAAGCACAUGUGACUUGUAAGCAUAUUUCUUUCAGAAAGGAAUACAAUUCAGACAUAACUUUCUCAAGAAGACACAUGAAGACUGAAGGAAUAAAUAAUACCACAAAUCAUGAGUCCACCCAAGGCCAAGUUCCCAAGUGCUGGUGCUUCCUGACAAUGGAAACUUGAAACACUUGAAUAAGAAAGGCAGAACUGCUUGGCUAGCAAAGGUGGAUUUUGAACAGCAAAUGUAAUUUCAUUUUCUGACCUGCCUCCUCAUGUAUACAAAUUCAGUAUCGUACAGUUAAGACCCCUUGGCUUUGCUAGACAGCAGGCAUGCCUUUAAAAUGGUAGGAACCUCUUGUCAGUGUACUUUUUUGUGAAAAUAAUGGUAUUGUGUUUUGUGCUGCACUGUCCUUGAUCCCAGUCAAAUGCCACGGGGAGAGGGAUAUUAGUUGGCUUGGGAUGACUUUGAGUCAGGUCCUGCUUAUGCCUUGUGCUAUGGGGUGACAUAUCUGAAACUUCCAUGGCUCUGUCCCCACUGCUCCAUAAGGGAGCAUAAAACACAGCACAGCUAGUUCACAUGCAAUUAUGCUGAUGAGUACAGAGGUAGGAGGAGGAAGGUGCAAAUGCCAGGAUGGAAAACUGACUUCAGCCCUCCAAUGUCACCAUGGCUUUCUGAGAGUCAGGGUUUACCAUGGAGUCCUCUGCAGCACAGGUGGCAGAAAUCUUCCACCGAAAAAGCAUCUGUUGGUGUCUGCAAAUAGCAUCUUUACAUGCCUGUUGAUGUCAUCCAAUUACCCAGCAGAAGUUUUCCCUAGAAAUCACUCUGCCAUUGGAGCUGAGAAAGUUUGAACAAUAAAUCCUGUUGGUGAAA